rnacentral:rRNA from 1 species
CCCUUAGAUGUUCUGGGCCGCACGCGCGCUACACUGACGAAUGCAACGAGCUUAUAACCUUGGCCGAAAGGUCUGGGUAAUCUCCAAAUUUCGUCGUGAUGGGGAUAGAUUAUUGCAAUUAUUAAUCUUCAACGAGGAAUGCCUAGUAAGCGCAAGUCAUCAGCUUGCGUUGAUUACGUCCCUGCCCUUUGUACACACCGCCCGUCGCUCCUACCGAUUGAAUGGUCCGGUGAAGCGCUCGGACCGCGGCCUCUUGACGGGUCUCCGUCGAUUGGCUGUGGGAAGUUCGUUAAACCUUNUNAUUUAGNGGAAGGAGAANUCGUANCA